rnacentral:rRNA from 1 species
AGGCUGCAGUAAGGAAUAUUGGUCAAUGGACGAAAGUCUGAACCAGCCAUGCCGCGUGGAGGAUGAAGGUCCUCUGGAUUGUAAACUUCUUUUAUAUGGGACGAAAAAAGGGUUUUCUAACUCGUCUGACGGUACCAUAUGAAUAAGCACCGGCUAACUCCGUGCCAGCAGCCGCGGUAAUACGGAGGGUGCAAGCGUUAUCCGGAUUCACUGGGUUUAAAGGGUGCGUAGGUGGGUUGGUAAGUCAGUGGUGAAAUCUCCGAGCUUAACUUGGAAACUGCCAUUGAUACUAUCAGUCUUGAAUACCGUGGAGGUCAGCGGAAUAUGUCAUGUAGCGGUGAAAUGCUUAGAUAUGACAUAGAACACCAAUUGCGAAGGCAGCUGGCUACUCGGAUAUUGACACUGAGGCACGAAAGCGUGGGGAUCAAACAGGAUUAGAUACCCUAGUAGUC